rnacentral:rRNA from 1 species
UGGGGGAUAUUGCACAAUGGGCGAAAGCCUGAUGCAGCGACGCCGCGUGGGGGAUGAAGGCCUUCGGGUUGUAAACUUCUUUUGCUCUGAACAAGGCAUGCCUUUGGGGUGUGUUGAGUGUAGGGGUUGAGUAGCGCCGGCUAACUACGUGCCAGCAGCCGCGGUAAUACGUAGGGCGCGAGCGUUGUCCGGAAUUAUUGGGCGUAAAGGGCUUGUAGGUGGCUGGUUGCGUCUGUCGUGAAAGCUCAUGGCUUAACUGUGGGUUUGCGGUGGGUACGGGCUGGCUUGAGUGCAGUAGGGGAGGCUGGAAUUCCUGGUGUAGCGGUGGAAUGCGCAGAUAUCAGGAGGAAUACCGGUGGCGAAGGCGGGUCUCUGGGCUGUUACUGACGCUGAGGAGCGAAAGCGUGGGGAGCGAACAGG